UACGAAGGGGGCAAGCGUUGUUCGGAUUUACUGGGCGUAGAGGGUGCGUAGGCGGCCCUGCAAGUUGGAUGCGAAAGCCCUGGGCUCAACCCAGGAAUAGCAUUCAAAACUACAGGGCUCGAGUGUGGAAGAGGAUGGUGGAAUUUCCAGUGUAGAGGUGAAAUUCGUAGAUAUUGGAAAGAACACCCGUGGCGAAGGCGGCCAUCUGGUCCACAACUGACGCUGAGGCACGAAAGCGUGGGGAGCAAACAGG
rnacentral:rRNA from 1 species